UACGUAGGUGGCAAGCGUUAUCCGGAAUUAUUGGGCGUAAAGCGCGCGUAGGCGGUUUCUUAAGUCUGAUGUGAAAGCCCACGGCUCAACCGUGGAGGGUCAUUGGAAACUGGGAAACUUGAGUACAGAAGAGGAAAGUGGAAUUCCAUGUGUAGCGGUGAAAUGCGCAGAGAUAUGGAGGAACACCAGUGGCGAAGGCGACUUUCUGGUCUAUAACUGACGCUGAUGUGCGAAAGCGUGGGGAUCAAACAGGAUUAGAUACCCCGGUA
rnacentral:rRNA from 1 species